UACGUAGGGGCCAAGCGUUGUCCGGAUUUAUUGGGCGUAAAGAGCUCGUAGGCGGUUCGGCAAGUCAGCUGUGAAAUCUCCACGCUCAACGUGGAGGGGUCAGCUGAUACUGCUGUGACUCGAGUCCGGUAGGGGAGUGGUGGAAUUCCCGGUGUAGCGGUGAAAUGCGCAGAUAGUCGGGAGGAACACCAGUAGCGAAGGCGGCUCCCUGGGCCAUUCCGUGACGC
rnacentral:rRNA from 1 species